ACCGAAAUAGCUCAGUUGGGAGAGCGUUAGACUAUAGAUCGAAAGGCCCCGGGUUCCAUCCCGGGAUUGGGCA
rnacentral:tRNA from 1 species